CCCAAAUGAGGUUCCUGCAGUCUGGCUAGGGCCAGUAUGACCAGUAUGGUCCUGAUCUGACCAUACUGACUGUGGUUCAGAUCAGACCAGCUUGAGCCAGAGGUGAUGUGGGCUAUCCUUAGACUGGUCCAUUUACACAAAGGAUACCUGGCACAUCCAAGAAAAUCAUCAUGCCCUCUACUCAGCAUAACAAACCCAGUAGGAAACACCUGGGAGACAACAGUGCUGGCACAUCUUUUGUUGUGGAGCAUCAGUCUCUGGGCUGAGCAUGGGAGCAAGGCUGAGAAGGGGAUUUGGAGCACAGGAGGAAGCUUUGGAAUCAACCUGGCACUGGGAAUGGACACUUGGCUCUCCCAGCAGUAUGGAGGUGGUCACUUCUACUCCUGUGUGCUUACUUUGGUGUCUGAUGUGGAAGCAAGUUAUAGGAAGAUGUUGACCGGAUUAUCAGCGUAUAUCCAGCUAAGUGCUGGACUCUUCAAGAUUCUCUUAUAG
rnacentral:lncRNA from 1 species